rnacentral:tRNA from 1 species
GCCCCGUUCGACUAGAGGCUUAGGUCACCACCUUCUCACGGUGGAGACAGCGGUUCGAAUCCGCUACGGGGCU